rnacentral:rRNA from 1 species
AACGAACGCUGGCGGCAGGCCUAACACAUGCAAGUCGAGCGAGGACUUCGGUUCUAGCGGCGGACGGGUGAGUAACGCGUGGGAAUGUGCCCUUCUCUACGGAAUAGCCCUGGGAAACUGGGAGUAAUACCGUAUACGCCCUUUUGGGGAAAGAUUUAUCGGAGAAGGAUCAGCCCGCGUUGGAUUAGGUAGUUGGUGGGGUAAUGGCCUACCAAGCCGACGAUCCAUAGCUGGUUUGAGAGGAUGAUCAGCCACACUGGGACUGAGACACGGCCCAGACUCCUACGGGAGGCAGCAGUGGGGAAUCUGAGACAAUGGGGGCAACCCUGAUCUAGCCAUGCCGCGUGAGUGAUGAAGGCCUUAGGGUUGUAAAGCUCUUUCAGCUGGGAAGAUAAUGACGGUACCAGCAGAAGAAGCCCCGGCUAACUCCGU